rnacentral:ncRNA from 1 species
UUAGACACGUUGAAAAGGACAGUCUUUGUCAAGUAAGCUCAUCAGCGAGCGGGGUAUGGUGUGAGCCCGUGGAGAAGUGACAAAGAAAAUCCCCUUGGAGUGAAUGGCUGAAAUCUCAGUAAGCUUUAUUCGGUUUGUCUCCGUUAAAAGACUUCCGAGUGGCUAUAUAUAGCAACAUGGGUGGUACCGCGAGUAAUCUCGUCCCUUUU